rnacentral:rRNA from 1 species
UACGGAGGGGACUAGCGUUGUUCGGAAUUACUGGGCGUAAAGCGCACGUAGGCGGGUUGUUAAGUCAGGGGUGAAAUCCUGGAGCUCAACUCCAGAACUGCCUUUGAUACUGGCAACCUAGAGACUGGAAGAGGUUAGUGGAAUUCCCAGUGUAGAGGUGAAAUUCGUAGAUAUUGGGAAGAACACCAGUGGCGAAGGCGGCUAACUGGUCCAGCACUGACGCUGAGGUGCGAAAGCGUGGGGAGCAAACAGG